AAAGACUAGAGUUUUACCUAUGAUCGCAAUGAUUUUCUAAAUGGCUCAAUUUACAACAGAUUCAGACGUCAGCGCUGCCUUAGCAUAAUUACUGCACAAUGUUCAACGUCAUCAGCCACAAAAAAUGAAGUCCCUACUAUACAGGUGGAGAAAAUACCAGAUAAACUAUUUAAAACUAUAGCAGUAGAGGUCAGAGGGCAUGACCGUGCAGUACUGGACAGCUAUCAAAAAUUU